AUGACAACUUCCAGUCCUCGUGGUCUCGAGAUUGAGCCACUUACUGGAAACAACUUCCAAACAUGGAAGGACUCGUUGCUAUUGCAUCUCAGCUGGCAUGAGGUUGACCUCACGCUGAGGGAAAGUAAACCAGCGCUGAGGGAAAGUAAACCAGUGGAACCUAAAAAGGAUGCCGCUGGGUAUGCGGAGCUUAAGAAAGCCUAUCAUGCUAAAGUUGAGACGUGGGAGAGGUCAAACAGAAUGGUGCUCCCAAUUAUGAACUUCUUCAUCUUGACUGAGAUUAAAGGGGCUAUUCCUGUUAAUGAAAGUGUCGCUGAAUAUUUGAAAUCGUUGGAAGAACAAUUUAAGGGCUCGGAGUAA
rnacentral:rRNA from 1 species